CUGUCACUCAGAUCAGAGAUUUUUGUAGAAUUAGAUUGGAUAUCGGGAAGGAGUUCUUGGCUGUAAGGGUGAUUGAAGCCCUGGCACCGGUUGCCCAGAGAAGCUGUGGCUGCCCCAUCCCUGGAAAUUAUUCAGGCCACAUUGCAUGGGACUUGGAGAAAGCUGGUCUAGUAGAAGGAAGGGAAUGGAAGUUUCUUUUCAAGAGACUGUUUCCUGGGCAAGGCCUGAUGAGCUUAACAUCUCAAGGGACUGGGAGCCACCAGAGGAUGCACCAGAGGCUUUCCCUACCUCGGGACUCUCAGCUCCUUCCACCUGAGCGUCCACGUUUCCCUACCAAUAAAACCGCCCCCCCCCGAAGAAACUGAGGGUCGCCUCUUCAUUUCAUCCUGCGACUUCGGAGCUCUCUACUGCGGCCACACGUCCGCAAGGCUUGACAUCGCCUUAGGCACAAGGCCCUGACUUCGGGUUGGGGAAGUGCCUGACUGGCUGGAGGUUGGCUGGACACUUAUCUAGCCUGGGCGUUUUACUUUCCACCGGCCACCACUCCAAGAGAAGAAAGAGGACCUGAUUAGCAGCUAAGGUAAAGGGAUCAAUAACCAAUAGGAAACCAAAUUCUAAGAUCUGUGUUACUUGGGACCAAUAAACAUUGAACCAAUUAA